ACUGUGAAGGAAAGGUGAAAAGAACCCCUGGCGGGGAGUGAAAAGAACCUGAAACCGUGUGCUUACAAACAGUUAGAGCCCAUCAAUGGGUGAUAGCGUGCCUUUUGUAGAAUGAGCCGGCGAGUUACGUUAAUUUGCAAGGUUAAGCUUUUAGGAGUGGAGCCGUAGCGAAAGCAAGUCUUAAUAGGGCGAAUAAGUAGAUUGACGUAUACCCGAAACCGGGUGAUCUAGCCAUGAGCAGGUUGAAGCUUGGGUAAAACCAGGUGGAGGACCGAACCAGGGUCUGUUGAAAAAGACUUGGAUGACUUGUGGCUAGGGGUGAAAUUCCAAUCGAACCCGGAGAUAGCUGGUUCUCCCCGAAAUAGCUUUAGGGCUAGCGUUGUGAGAAGAGUUAUACGAAGGUAGAGCACUGAAUGGGUGAGGGCCGCACCUCGCGGUACCAAUCUCAAUCAAACUCCGAAUGUCGUAUAAUAUGCGCAGCAGUAAGACUAUGGGUGAUAAGGUCCAUGGUCAAAAGGGAAACAGCCCAGACCGCCAGUUAAGGUCCCAAAAUUAUGCUAAGUGGGAAAGGAGGUGGAGUCGCUUAAACAACUAGGAGGUUGGCUCAGAAGCAGCCAUCCUUUAAAGAGUGCGUAAUAGCUCACUAGUCGAGUGAUUCUGCGCCGAAAAUGUAUCGGGGCUAAGCAUAAUACCGAAGCUGCGGGAUUAGAUGAAGAAUCUAAUCGGUAGGGGAGCGUACUAAGUGCGUAGAAGGUUGACCGGAAGGGCAGCUGGAGCGCUUAGCAGUGAGUAUGCCGGUGUGAGUAGCGAUAAGAUGGGUGAGAAUCCCAUCCGUCGAAAGCCUAAGGUUUCCAGGGGUAAGGCUCGUCCUCCCUGGGUAAGUCGGGUCCUAAGGUGAGGCUGAGAAGCGUAGCUGAUGGACAUCAGGUUGAUAUUCCUGAACCACCAUAAAACUGAAGGAAUGACGGAGGAGGCUAAUCAGAGCUGAUUAAUGGAUUUCAGUUUAAGUACAAAGAGGGUUACGUAGGCAAAUCCGCGUAGCAAAACCUUGAAGUAUGACGACGUAAGUCUGGUGAAGCCACACUUCCAAGAAAAGUUUCUAGGUGUAUUUUAUGGUGCCCGUACCGUAAACGGACACACGUAGGCGAGGAGAGAAUCCAAAGACGCGCGAGAUAAUUCUUGUUAAGGAACUCUGCAAAAUUACUCUGUAACUUCGGAAUAAAGAGGGCUCCCGUGAGGGAGACGCAGAAAAUAGGCCCAAGCGACUGUUUAACAAAAACAUAGGUUUCUGCUAAAGCGUAAGCUGAUGUAUAGGAGCUGACGCCUGCCCAGUGCUGGAAGGUUAAGAGGAGAAGUUAGUCGCAAGGCGAAGCUUUGAAUUGAAGCCCCAGUAAACGGCGGCCGUAACUAUAACGGUCCUAAGGUAGCGAAAUUCCUUGUCAGGUAAGUUCUGACCCGCACGAAAGGCGUAACGAUUUGGGCGCUGUCUCAACAAGAAACUCGGUGAAAUCAUAGUACCUGUGAAGAUGCAGGUUACCCGCGAUCAGACGGAAAGACCCCAUGGAGCUUCACUGCAACUUAAUAUUGAUAUUGGGUGUGUGAUGUACAGGAUAGGUGGGAGACAAAGAAGCGAGUACGCUAGUAUUCGUGGAGUCAACCUUGGGAUACCACCCCUCGCACAUUUAGUAUCUAACUAGUUUCCAUAAGCUGGGAAUAGAACAGUGUUAGGUGGGCAGUUUGACUGGGGCGGUCGCCUCCCAAAGAGUAACGGAGGCGCCCAAAGGUUCCCUCAGAAUGGUUGGAAAUCAUUCAUAGAGUGUAAAGGCAGAAGGGAGCUUGACUGCGAGACGGACAGGUCGAGCAGGAACGAAAGUUGGGCUUAGUGAACCGGCUGUGCUGAAUGGAAAGGCAGUCGAUCAACGGACAAAAGCUACCCUGGGG
rnacentral:rRNA from 1 species